UACGUAGGGGGCUAGCGUUGUCCGGAAUCAUUGGGCGUAAAGAGCGUGUAGGCGGUCCGGUAAGUCCGUUGUGAAAGUCAGGGGCUCAACCCUUGAAUGCCGGCGGAUACUGUCGGGCUAGAGUCCGGAAGAGGCGAGUGGAAUUCCCGGUGUAGCGGUGAAAUGCGCAGAUAUCGGGAGGAACACCAAUUGCGAAGGCAGCUCGCUGGGACGUUACUGACGCUGAGACGCGAAAGCGUGGGGAGCAAACAGG
rnacentral:rRNA from 1 species